rnacentral:lncRNA from 1 species
UUCGGCGUUACCAGGAGAGCUAUGUAUAGGAAUGCCGCUAUGGAAAGACAUCCAGGACACCUUGUUAAGUGAAAAAAGACAUGCCACCAUUAGGGCUUCAUUUCCCUGCAGUCUUCUUUAAAUACCAAAACUGCCCUGGGAAGGAUAAGACAUCAGUUUCUUCAUAUUUCAGAGCAAACGGGAUUGAUUCCCAAGUCCUCCUUUCUGUGGACUGGGUUUUUGCCUCCUCACCAAGAGAAAGGGCUCCCUGGGCAAGCAGAGGCUGCUGGGUUCAGUAUCUGAACACUUUUGCUAAAGGUCUCUGGAAAGCUCCCUGUGUUAAUUCUGGAUGAGACUAUGUCUGUGUCGGCUGCUUCCUGAGCCUCCUUCCAUGUGCAUAGGCCUGCUGCAUGCUGGAGACCCGCGGCACAGCUGCCAAAUGCCCCUGUGUGGCUCUGUGAUCUUGGGACAGUCACUUCCUCUCUGUGGUUGUCAGUCUUCUCAUCCCUAAGCACUCAAGAAGCCCUUCCUUCUCUGGCUCUCAAGUCUGGACUCAUCUCUUGUCUUACACACGGACAGUUGUUUUAAGGAAAAGCCCCUGGUUGGACUUGCAGGUUGGGCACAGCCCUGGCCGUACUACAGGUGCUCAGCAAAGACUUGCCUCAUCUGUUUACCCUCCAGCUCAUGCCCCUUCCUACCUCUACACCCUGUUGCAUUGCGGGCAUGGCCUCCGGAAAAGUCAAGCAUGGUGAAAGGAAGUGUGGCCCAGAGCUGGCACGCCACAGGAACUUGGAGUAACUUGCAGUGUCUUGCAGUAUUAUGAAACC